rnacentral:SRP_RNA from 1 species
UGCUAGGCUGGGUGGAUGACCCUCACCUGUCACGACAAACGGGUCUCUUGGUCGAGCCGAAGCCGAAAGGGCGGUCACGACCGUCAGGAACGGUCUUGCCCCGACUGCCGAUACCCUGUCCCUCUUGGUCACGAUCCUUACGAACCUGGUCAGGCCUUGACGGGAGCAGCCAUAAGCAUGGACUGUGGUGUUUGAGGGGUCGCAGGGAGGAGGAACGGGCGAGGUCAGCCGCGAAUGACGAGAAGGAUCCACCUUUCGGCGCGCAUUUUA